rnacentral:misc_RNA from 1 species
AAAGUCGUAACAAGGUCUCCGUUGGUGAACCAGCGGAGGGAUCAUUACCGAGUUUACACUCCAAACCCAUGUGAACCUUACCAUCGUUGCUUCGGCAGAUCGUCCCGGGCGCCCUAGGCGUCCCGGAGCUAGGCGUCUGCCGGAGGACCCAAACUCUUGUUUUACCAGUGGUAUCUUCUGAGUAAUUUUAUAAAUAAAUCAAAACUUUCAACAACGGAUCUCUUGGUUCUG